rnacentral:rRNA from 1 species
UCAAGUGAAGAAGCGCAUACGGUGGAUGCCUUGGCAGUCAGAGGCGAUGAAAGACGUGGUAGCCUGCGAAAAGCUUCGGGGAGUCGGCAAACAGACUGUGAUCCGGAGAUGUCUGAAUGGGGGAACCCAGCCAUCAUAAGAUGGUUAUCUUGUACUGAAUACAUAGGUGCAAGAGGCGAACCAGGGGAACUGAAACAUCUAAGUACCCUGAGGAAAAGAAAUCAACCGAGAUUCCCUUAGUAGUGGCGAGCGAACGGGGACCAGCCCUUAAGUUGUAUUGAGAUUAGCGGAACGUUCUGGAAAGGACGGCCAUAGUGGGUGAUAGCCCUGUACGCGAAAAUCCCUUUGCAAUGAAAUCGAGUAGGACGGGGCACGAGAAACCUUGUCUGAAUAUGGGGGGACCAUCCUCCAAGGCUAAAUACUACUGACUGACCGAUAGUGAACCAGUACCGUGAGGGAAAGGCGAAAAGAACCGCGGAGAGCGGAGUGAAAUAGAUCCUGAAACCGUAUGCGUACAAGCAGUGGGAGCCCACUUUGUUGGGUGACUGCGUACCUUUUGUAUAAUGGGUCAGCGACUUAUUUUCAGUGGCGAGCUUAACCGAAUAGGGGAGGCGUAGCGAAAGCGAGUCUUAAUAGGGCGUCUAGUCGCUGGGAAUAGACCCGAAACCGGGCGAUCUAUCCAUGGGCAGGUUGAAGGUUGGGUAACACUAACUGGAGGACCGAACCGACUACCGUUGAAAAGUUAGCGGAUGACCUGUGGAUCGGAGUGAAAGGCUAAUCAAGCUCGGAGAUAGCUGGUUCUCCUCGAAAGCUAUUUAGGUAGCGCCUCAUGUAUCACUGUAGGGGGUAGAGCACUGUUUCGGCUAGGGGGUCAUCCCGACUUACCAAACCGAUGCAAACUCCGAAUACCUACAAGUGCCGAGCAUGGGAGACACACGGCGGGUGCUAACGUCCGUCGUGAAAAGGGAAACAACCCAGACCGUCAGCUAAGGUCCCAAAGUCAUGGUUAAGUGGGAAACGAUGUGGGAAGGCUUAGACAGCUAGGAGGUUGGCUUAGAAGCAGCCACCCUUUAAAGAAAGCGUAAUAGCUCACUAGUCGAGUCGGCCUGCGCGGAAGAUGUAACGGGGCUCAAACCAUGCACCGAAGCUACGGGUAUCAUCUUAGGAUGAUGCGGUAGAGGAGCGUUCUGUAAGCCUGUGAAGGUGAGUUGAGAAGCUUGCUGGAGGUAUCAGAAGUGCGAAUGCUGACAUGAGUAACGACAAUGGGUGUGAAAAACACCCACGCCGAAAGACCAAGGUUUCCUGCGCAACGUUAAUCGACGCAGGGUUAGUCGGUCCCUAAGGCGAGGCUGAAAAGCGUAGUCGAUGGAAAACAGGUUAAUAUUCCUGUACUUCUGGUUAUUGCGAUGGAGGGACGGAGAAGGCUAGGCCAGCCUGGCGUUGGUUGUCCAGGUUUAAGGUGGUAGGCUGAGAUCUUAGGUAAAUCCGGGAUCUCAAGGCCGAGAGCUGAUGACGAGUGUUCUUUAGAACACGAAGUGGUUGAUGCCAUGCUUCCAAGAAAAGCUUCUAAGCUUCAGGUAACCAGGAACCGUACCCCAAACCGACACAGGUGGUUGGGUAGAGAAUACCAAGGCGCUUGAGAGAACUCGGGUGAAGGAACUAGGCAAAAUGGCACCGUAACUUCGGGAGAAGGUGCGCCGGUGAGGGUGAAGCAUUUACUGCGUAAGCCCACGCCGGUCGAAGAUACCAGGCCGCUGCGACUGUUUAUUAAAAACACAGCACUCUGCAAACACGAAAGUGGACGUAUAGGGUGUGACGCCUGCCCGGUGCCGGAAGGUUAAUUGAUGGGGUUAGCGCAAGCGAAGCUCUUGAUCGAAGCCCCGGUAAACGGCGGCCGUAACUAUAACGGUCCUAAGGUAGCGAAAUUCCUUGUCGGGUAAGUUCCGACCUGCACGAAUGGCGUAACGAUGGCGGCGCUGUCUCCACCCGAGACUCAGUGAAAUUGAAAUCGCUGUGAAGAUGCAGUGUAUCCGCGGCUAGACGGAAAGACCCCGUGAACCUUUACUAUAGCUUUGCACUGGACUUUGAAUUUGCUUGUGUAGGAUAGGUGGGAGGCUUUGAAGCGUGGACGCCAGUCUGCGUGGAGCCAACCUUGAAAUACCACCCUGGCAACUUUGAGGUUCUAACUCAGGUCCGUUAUCCGGAUCGAGGACAGUGUAUGGUGGGUAGUUUGACUGGGGCGGUCUCCUCCUAAAGAGUAACGGAGGAGUACGAAGGUGCGCUCAGACCGGUCGGAAAUCGGUCGUAGAGUAUAAAGGCAAAAGCGCGCUUGACUGCGAGACAGACACGUCGAGCAGGUACGAAAGUAGGUCUUAGUGAUCCGGUGGUUCUGUAUGGAAGGGCCAUCGCUCAACGGAUAAAAGGUACUCCGGGGAUAACAGGCUGAUACCGCCCAAGAGUUCAUAUCGACGGCGGUGUUUGGCACCUCGAUGUCGGCUCAUCACAUCCUGGGGCUGAAGCCGGUCUCAAGGGUAUGGCUGUUCGCCAUUUAAAGUGGUACGCGAGCUGGGUUUAGAACGUCGUGAGACAGUUCGGUCCCUAUCUGCCGUGGACGUUUGAGAUUUGAGAGGGGCUGCUCCUAGUACGAGAGGACCGGAGUGGACGAACCUCUGGUGUUCCGGUUGUCACGCCAGUGGCAUUGCCGGGUAGCUAUGUUCGGAAAAGAUAACCGCUGAAAGCAUCUAAGCGGGAAACUUGCCUCAAGAUGAGAUCUCACUGGAACCUUGAGUUCCCUAGAGGGCCGUCGAAGACUACGACGUUGAUAGGUUGGGUGUGUAAGCGCUGUGAGGCGUUGAGCUAACCAAUACUAAUUGCCCGUGAGGCUUGACCAU